rnacentral:rRNA from 1 species
GUACACUCCUACGGGAGGCAGCAGUGGGGAAUAUUGCACAAUGGGCGCAAGCCUGAUGCAGCCAUGCCGCGUGUAUGAAGAAGGCCUUCGGGUUGUAAAGUACUUUCAGCGGGGAGGAAGGCGAUAAGGUUAAUAACCUUGUUGAUUGACGUUACCCGCAGAAGAAGCACCGGCUAACUCCGUGCCAGCAGCCGCGGUAAUACGGAGGGUGCAAGCGUUAAUCGGAAUUACUGGGCGUAAAGCGCACGCAGGCGGUCUGUCAAGUCGGAUGUGAAAUCCCCGGGCUCAACCUGGGAACUGCAUUGGAAACUGGCAGGCUAGAGUCUUGUAGAGGGGGGUAGAAUUCCAGGUGUAGCGGUGAAAUGCGUAGAGAUCUGGAGGAAUACCGGUGGCGAAGGCGGCCCCCUGGACAAAGACUGACGCUCAGGUGCGAAAGCGUGGGGAGCAAACAGGAUUAGAAACCCUAGUAGUCCCA